GGCGGCACGCCUAACACAUGCAAGUCGAACGAAGUAGCAAUACUUAGUGGCAGACGGGUGAGUAACAUGUGGGUAUCUACCCUUUGGCCUGGAAUAACACGAGGAAACUUGUGCUAAUACCGGAUAAGUCUUUACGGAGAAAGCUUUAUGCACCAUUGGAUGAGCCUGCACUUGAUUAGUUUGUUGGUAGGGUAAUGGCCUACCAAGACUAUGAUCAAUAGCUGAUUUGAGAGGAUGAUCAGCCACAUUGGGACUGAGACACGGCCCAAACUCCUACGGGAGGCAGCAGUGGGGAAUCUUGCACAAUGGAGGAAACUCUGAUGCAGCGAUGCCGCGUGAGUGAAGAAGGCCCUUGGGUUGUAAAGCUCUUUCGUCGGGGAAGAAAAUGACUGUACCCGAAUAAGAAGGUCCGGCUAACUUCGUGCCAGCAGCCGCGGUAAUACGAAGGGACCUAGCGUAGUUCGGAAUUACUGGGCUUAAAGAGUUCGUAGGUGGUUGAAAAAGUUGGUGGUGAAAUCCCAGAGCUUAACUCUGGAACUGCCAUCAAAACUUUUCAGCUAGAGUAUGAUAGAGGAAAGCAGAAUUUCUAGUGUAGAGGU
rnacentral:rRNA from 1 species